rnacentral:lncRNA from 1 species
AUGCUAACCAAGCUAGAAGAGGAAAGAUGUGAAGAUUGGUCACCUGUGCAAAGGAAACGACAAGGUUUCAUCUCCCCUGGCUGCUGGCCUCACCCCGAUUUCUGGGCAUUGGGAUCUGGUAACCGUGAGUUCCUGCUGCUCCUGCUCCUGCAGCCGUCUGUGUCACGCCUGGCAGCCAUCUUAGGCUGGGCAGAAAGCCCACCAGGGCUAGCACAGCAAAUCGGCUGGGGAGGAAGAAGAAGGAGGAGGAAGAUGCCACCCAGAAGUUUGCAUUAUCAGCCUUUACAGCAGUCUGCUCAUGAGGCUGCCUACAGCUUAGUCCGUAAAUAUACCCACAAGUGGGCAGGACCAGAAGCAGAAAGCUCCUUCCCAAACACCAUCUGGCUGCUGGUGGCAAUGCCUAGGCCGUGGCCACCCUGGUCUUGCCUGGCCUUGGGUGGGUCUUUUCAAAGCUUCACCAUGCUGAGUGAAUGUAAACAUAGAAUCAUAGAAUAUCCCGAGUUGCAAGGGACCCUUAAGGAUCAUCGAGUCCAACUCCUGGCUCCACGCAGGUCCACCCAAGAAUUCAGACCAUAUGACUAAGUGCACAGUCCAAACGCUACUUGAACUCCUACAGGCUUGGUGCCAUGACUGCUUCCCUGGGGAGCCUGCUCCAGUGCACGACAACCUUCUCAGUGAAGAACCUCUUCCUGAUUGUCCUGGUUCCAGUUAGGACAGAGUUAAUUUUCCCUCAUAGUAGCUGGUAGGGUGCUAUGUUUUGGAUUAGGAUGAGAAGAGCGCUGAUAACAUGCUGAUGUUUUAAUUGUUGCAGAGCAGUGUUUACACCAGGCCAAGGACUUUUCGGCUUCUCGCUCUGUCCUGCCAGCGAGCAGGCUGGGGGUGCAGCAGGAGCUGGGAGGGGACAGACCCAGGACAGCUGACCCAAACUGGCCAAAGGGGUAUUCCAUACCAUCUGACGUCAUGCUAAACAAUAUAUAGGGGUGGCUGGCCGGGGUGGGGGGCUGGCUGCUCGGGGAUAGGCUGGGCAUCGGUCAGCGGGUGGUGAGCAAUUGCGUUGUGCAUCACUUGUUUUCUUACACAUUAUUAUUAUUAAUACUAUUAUCAUUAUCACUAUUAUUAUUAUUAUUGUUAUUAUUAUAUUCCUGUCUUAAUAAACUUUCUCAAUCUCAACUCA